AGAGUUUGAUCCUGGCUCAGAACGAACGCUGGCGGCAGGCUUAACACAUGCAAGUCGAACGGCUGUAGCAAUACAGCAGUGGCAGACGGGUGAGUAACACGUGGGAACCUUCCUAGGGGUACGGAACAACUCAGGGAAACUUGAGCUAAUACCGUAUACGUCCGUAAGGAGAAAGAUUCAUCGCCCCUAGACGGGCCCGCGUCGGAUUAGGUAGUUGGUGGGGUAACGGCCUACCAAGCCUGCGAUCCGUAGCUGAUCUGAGAGGAUGAUCAGCCACACUGGGACUGAGACACGGCCCAGACUCCUACGGGAGGCAGCAGUGGGGAAUCUUGGACAAUGGGCGCAAGCCUGAUCCAGCCAUGCCGCGUGAGUGAAGAAGGCCUUAGGGUUGUAAAGCUCUUUUACCAGGGACGAUAAUGACGGUACCUGAGAAUAGCCC
rnacentral:rRNA from 1 species